UGAAAGUUCUGGACGCGGAGUUUGUAAAUACCACGCUGCAUAUUUCCACAUCCACGACGAAAUAGCUGUAGGACCCUGUUCAAUAAGGCAGAUUAUCAAGAUGAAGUGGGCCGGGACCAAAUGGAUGCCUGUUUCUCAGCAAGCGGUGUCCAACUGCUAAAUUACCCCGGUCUUAUCAGUAUGGGCUAUCAUUAAAGCCGGGGGUUUUCGAUGCACACAUGUGACCCUUCAUGGGCCAUAGGAAUAUGAAGACCGCUUCUUGUAUAUCUUUUCCAUCACGGAACAAUGGUGUUCCGGACCUUUGGGAGGCGUGCGCGGAGCCGUAGGCAACACAUACGGGAUCAUAUCAAUUACGUGGACAAGUCGUAUGGUGGGACAACCUACGACGCCUUUAUAUGGAGCAACAGCGUUAGUCGAGAUUACUUCGAGCAGCUGGCAUGUGUGGCACCAGCGAAAUAGUGUACAUUAGAUAUGGGAACAAGUCAACUACAUCAUUAACAUGGACGCGUCGUACGGCAGGGCAACCCACGACGCCUUCAUAUGUAGCAAUAGCAUUAGUCAAGACUACUUCGAGCAGCGGGCAUGUGGUACCAGCGAAAUAGCG